rnacentral:rRNA from 1 species
GAUGAACGCUAGCGGCAGGCUUAACACAUGCAAGUCGAGGGGUAGAGUAGCAAUACUUGAGACCGGCGCACGGGUGCGUAACGCGUAUGCAACCUACCUUGAACAGGGGAAUAGCCCAGAGAAAUUUGGAUUAAUACCCCAUGGUAUUUUAGAGUGGCAUCACUUUAUUAUUAAAGUUCCAACGGUUCAAGAUGGGCAUGCGUCCCAUUAGCUAGUUGGUGUGGUAACGGCACACCAAGGCUACGAU